CUGUAUUCGGACUUGCACACCCCGGGGAGGUAUGGCAGGGUGAUUCUCCUCUCCAAACCCGGAGGCAAUAUUUUGCAUCAGGCUGAUGUGAUCCUGCAGAUCCACCGAGCCGUGCUGGAAAUGAAGUGCUAGAGGAUCUGAGGCAGGCUGCCCUCUCCAAUAAGACAACAGCCAGGGUGCAAGUGAGCUAUCCCAACACUAAAUUAAAGGUAUGCUCUUACUGCAUGCUUUUGCCAAUUAAAGAGGCAGCACUUCAUUUCUUGUCCUAAACAGCAAAGAGAAAUAUAAUCAUAUCUAUCUCUCUCUAUCGAAAUGUGUGUGAUCUGGGCUUUCCUCGUGAAGCAGCUGAAUCCGGUGCCUUGCUUUUGUUCUGGGCGAGGAGGGAGGGUGGGGAACUGGACGCUGCCGGAGCAGGAGAAGAAGGGAGCGGAGAAGAACCUGAGCACCGGCAGACCUUGCAAUGCCUCGAAGGUUCAAUUCAUGGGGGGAAAGGGACAGGAGGUCGGUGGGGGGUUGAGAACUGGUUUGCACUAUCACCUUUUCCAGCCUCACUGCUGUGGUGGAAUAAUUUGUCUUUAAUGUGGUCAGGAAAAGCUUUCCUCAAAGGCACAGUGAGGUCCUGUGUCUCCCUGCCCCUGCCAGUGCUGUAAGAGCAGCAGGAGGUUUGGGCCAGAAGCAAUUUCAGGUGUCCUGCCUUCUUAACCUGCAUGCAAAGAAGGUGAAGGGAAGUGGGAAUUUUUUUUUUUUUCUCUCUCAGUGUAAAAAUUAUUAACUCUGUCGCUGAUGGAUGGGCUGGACUUUUGGGUUGGAUCCCACCAGCUAGAGGCUUCCAGCAAAGUUGAAACAAGGUAAAAGGUGAAAGAAGUUUCAGUCCCCCCCAUUAAAAGAAUAAACAAUUUGGCACAAAUUGUCUCAGGACUAUUUCCCUGGCACACAAACACCCAUCUGCUUUCCUUCCCAUCUGGAGCAAUUCUGUUCACCAGGACUAACCUGCUGUGAGUAAAUAAGGUAAAAAGUUUGCAGGUAGCUCAUGAAAGAAGUUUUUGUGGAUUACAGUAUGCACCAGAGGCAGGAUUUAUUCAACAGAGUGUAACAAACUCCCUAGGACACUAUUUACUCACAGCUCAGGUCAUAGGGGAGAGGACAUGCUCCUCUUUGUAAACCAGAGAUCUCUGGGGUUAUCUCUUCCCUUUUUCAAAGAGUUCCUCGGGGGUAAGGGACAUGCUCUUGCAAGUACCACCACUAAGAUCCUGAAGUUACAAUUUAUUUCUUACUGUAGAUUUACCAGGAAAAGAUCCCAUAAAGUCAGUCCCUGUUACGAAAUCUGAAGCAGAGACAUAGAUUGAUUUUGUUUGAUUGUCUUUUUCCUUCAAUAAAAGUGCCAGGUGGAACAGCUUGGAUUUGGUCCCGUGGCUGUAGAUGUUACAGUAAUUGCUUUGUACAGAGUUGUGGCUGCCUGAGUGGAGUGUGUGAAAAUGAAAAGGUGUCCUUGCUGGAAAGUCCUGAGUGCAAAGAGUGAUCAGAAAAACAAGUUAUUCUGGAUUAAAUAUCCCUGGAUGAAUUUUAUCUUCUAGUGUGCCGCAAAGACAACCCCGCUACUGCAGAAUUAAAGUGAAUCCUUUACAUUUUGCUCAGUUUUAGAAUUAAAUUUAAGGUAGUUCAGUGGAUAACACUGAUAAUCUAGACUAACAGUGUUAUAAAGCAGCUUUAUAUAGAUAUAGUUGUGGUAGUAGUCCUACUCUCUCAAUCCAGGUUAAUUUUCUUCUCUAGACAAACCCUAACUGAUCUUAUCAAAACUAGGAUGCAAUCACUCGCAAUGUGGUUUUGUUUGUUUGUUUGUUUGUUUUUUCAUUAGAAGAUUGCCUACAGCUCCUCCUUUUUUAAAGAUAAAAGCAAAGGAAAAGAUAAUGUGGUCUGAAUUAGCUACAUAUUGGAUUGCCAGAUAAUUUGCACACAGAGAAAGGUUUUCCCAAAACAUAGAAGUCUAACUCUGAGCACUAACAAACACCAUCCCAGCACCUCCAAUCCCCCAAAGAGUUGUGUUUCAUCUUCUGGGUGAGGGAACAAGCACCCUUAAGUAGCUCAGUUUAAAACUGGACUGAGCAGGGAGCUUUCUGCCCUAUUGCCAGUGAAAGAAGAUCAAGCCAUCAAAGCCUGUGACUAAACUUCAGAGAAAAGCUAGCAAUUACAACCCAUUUCUGUGGGUCCUGCUUUUACUGAGAAAGAGAAAUACACUUUGCCACAAUUUUCCUUCUUCUUAUAUGUUAAGGACUCUAUUAUGGAUCUGUGGUCAGCCCUGAACCUGGGCUGGUCUUCAGUGAUGGUGUUUCUGCAGACACUCACCUUCUCUGGUCUCUUUGGCUCCAACUGCUGGGAUUAAAUUACUGUUUUGUAUAACUAAUUCACUAGUUUAUCUCUGUAAUCUUUGCUGUCCCAUCUACCAUGGGUUAGGAAGUUGAAGGGCAACAUCUCAUGAUCUCCUUCAAACCAUGGGCAAAAUCUUGGUUUAAUCCCAUCUCUCAAGCUGUUUAUUGACCUCCCUCACUUUGCUCCUGUGAGCAAAGGAUGUGAAAACUCAGGCCUGUAUUUCUUGCUUCAUAUUUUUUUUUAAACAGAAACAUCUCAGAUGCUGCACCCAUUUAGGUAGAUGAGUUUCUGGCUGUUCAGCAAAGGGAGAGAACCCCUGUGACUAUAGCUGUGAGGUUUUGUAUUUCUUCAUACUUGAGUUGUGACAUUAAGGAAAAGUUGUGGCUAAACCUCAUGGGACUGCAAACAAGAGGGCCAAAUCUGCCUGAUCUUAUUUAUUGUGAGCCAUUGCUCAUCACAUUCAGUGAUCCAUGCUCUUGGGAUUCUUCUCAGCUAAACUUUCCUGCACCAUUAUAACCCACCAGGAUCUUUUAGGCUGCCUCACUUCCCAAAGGUCAUGUUCCUUGGUUAAUACUGGUAGGUUUUGCUAUUUUAAUAAUAGCUUCAAAUUAAACAAAAUUCUUCUAAAAACAACAUGGGGAUUAAAAAUCAUGAAAGUGCCCCAUAUGUAUUUAGUUUACAGCUGACAUGGGUCAAGUGUCAAACUGGUCUGGGACACAAUGACAGUGUUGAGCUGUUCCACUUCUGCUCCAUCUAGGAGCUGCAAAAACAUCUUGUAGUUUAUUGUUUCCCUUAAGCCUUGUGAGAAACUUUUACUUUUUCCCUUCUCAUCUCCUGAUGGAAGCCAAAUCAGUUCAAACCUCUCAGGUGAGGCUGCCUGAAGGGUGUCAGGGGGUGAGUUCUUGGCAGGUUUCCCACAGGAACUUUGUGGGGACCACUCAAGCAGGUUUCAGCAAACUGCUCCAGUUUUGAAGCAGCUGUUAUCAGGCUGCAAAAUCUGAUGAAACUGCUUGGCUUUUCCUGAGGAAAUCUGGAUGUGAAGGAUAAUUGUUUAAUCAUUGCUUGCUGUAUUGUUGGAAGAACUUACAGCCCUAAAUAUUUCUACUAUCACUGUCCCUCCAUAAGUCAGGAACUUGGUUUCUCUACUCAUCAGAGAAGGAGCAGAGACACAACAUUCACACUCAGAGCACAGACUGCAGGGUGGUUUCAAAAGCCUGAGAUGGGUUUAAAAUCCACUCUGGCUACUUAGGGGUGAUUGUAGGCAAGUGCAGAUGAACCAGGCUGAAGGAAAAUGCCAGCUCUCCUUGCUUUGGGAGCACAGUAGUCUGCUCACUGCAGUCUGCAGCCCAGCCAGAGAGUGACUUGCCCAAGGUCAUGCAGAUAGACCGUGGCAAAGCAGGAAAACAAAGCUGGGUAUAUGAAGUCUUGAUGAAGACUUUUGAAAUACUUCCUGGAGAAACAUUGCUCAUGCUUUCCUCAGUUCAGGACAUAAAAAAAUGCUCCUGUGCUUGGGGUCUGGACUGUGCCCUAACUUGCACAGACUGGACAAAUCUGUGCUGAGCGCUCUCCAUCAGUCAUCAAACUGUUAAAUCUCAAGUUUUGGCAAAUAUCAGCAUUGUUUUGGUCAGCUGGGACUUCCAGAACAGUGACUGUGUGUGACUUGGGAGACAGCAUAGGAAAGAGUCCACUCCAGAUCAGUAAAUCCGCUCCAUUCUGCUGAUAAUGGUGUGUGGUGUUCUUAGAAGUGAGCACAUUGUGCCUCUGCCUCAGGGCCAGAAUGUGGUCUGAGGCACAGUUUAUUUGUUGGUAUAAACAGAAUUAUUGAUUACCUGAGGAUUACUUCUUGUGUACCAUGAAAUAUGAGGGAAGAGAUUGCUUUUUGACCCCGAUUCACCUAUAACCAAAGAAAAUUUUCUGUCCUAUUCCAGGAAAAGCCAAAAAAGCUCCAGAUAAAAAUAAUAGAAGUUAUUUCUGAACACAGUCUUUGUAUGGAAGGGAAAAAAAGAAAACUAUAAAAACUUUUUUUCAGGUAUUUCAUCUUUAUUGUUUCUUUGUUGCCUUUCAUGUUUAUUUGCUACUUUGUCUGAGAAAAGAUAAUAACUGAGAACUUCCCUGUCUGAGUUCAAAAUAAAUAUGACAACUGCUGGUUUAAAAAAACCUUUGUCAGCAGAUUGGUUCCUGUAAUAUUGCCUUCAAUUAAUUAAGCAUCAGUCAUUUAUGAACACUAGGCAAAAUAGCAGCCAAUAAACCAGAAAUCUCUAUUACCACAUUUGUGAUAAACACAUCAGCUGGAUAUUGAGUCUGCUCUUGCUUAAGCUGAAGCAUUACUUACAUUCACUUAACAUCUUGAAACCUCUAAUUGCAGUUUUGCUACUGGCCAGAUUCUCAAUUUUUCUCGCAUUAACAGCUGUACUUUCAAAUGAGUCUUGCUCCAUUUGCAUUUGUGGAGUCUUUCUGACUGCUCUAAGAUUAAUCCCUCCUCAGAUGUCCCUGAGGGGGACACUUCUAUGGGACAGAGAAAAUAUGAAACCAGAGCCCACUUCCAUCAGAGUAGGCAUCUAUGCACCAACAAUAUCCACAAACUGAUUGUCCCUGCAGUAAAUUCAGUUAGAGUGCAAGAUUGCCCUAACUCAAACAAGCAGAUGCUUCUUCAGAAGCAAUGUGGCUCUGCACCCUUUUGUGAUACCACCUGUUCCAACCCAAGCAUGUGGUUCAGGAUUUUGUGAAGUGUUCUGUGGCUGUUAAAAUCUACCAAGUCAAAGAAAAAUAAUAAAACAUGUUCAGGGAGAAGAUCAGAAGAGGGAGGCUGGAGGCUGCAGAUAGUUUUCAUCUCAGCAUCGCAGAUGAAGACAGGAUGGGCAGGCUGAGCUCAGAAUAGCUGCUCAGUAGCAUGAAAGCAAGUGGAAAAUGUUUGAAGCAUAAGAGCAUCUUCUGGCUCACAGAUUGGGAAACUAAUUUGGGGGAAAAAAAAAAUAAAAAGACACUUCUACUCUUCCAACUGUGUUUCCAUACUGUCCAGCAGCACUGGGGAGGGCUCCUGACCCUCCUCACCUGGAUGGGCUGGUGGAGCUGUGCCUUUGCUGGGAGAUGUCUCUGUAGAUAUCAGCUUUUGAAGAUGUGAUUAGGCAGCCCAUCUGCUCAGUUUGGGCAAGAAAUUUAGAAUUUCCUUGCAUUUUUAGAAAAAUUCUUCACUCCUCCCUUUGCUUAGUACAUUAGGAAGGGUCUCUGUGUUGGCUCUGACAGCCAAGCAUUAAGUUAACACUCUCCUGUAAAGCAAGGCCAGACUAUGAGCCCUGACUGCACUGGGAACAUGAAACUGGGUUAACAUGUACAGAUAAGCCAUUCCAAUGUAAACAAACAGCAGAAAGGCAGCAGAGACCAAGCAAGGAAAAAAUGAGUGUUUGGGUGCUCUUUUUGAACUGAACUUCAGUUCAGAACUUAAUGUUCCUUGUCAAUCUCUGAGGGACAUUCCACCUUCAGCUGACCAGGAGUGUAGAGAGCAAGUUCCUUGGGUGUGGGGCUCCUUCCUUCCCAUCCAGCAACUGAGAGUUCUGGCCAUAUAGAAGACUGCAAAGAAAAUAUUCUCCAUUGACCUUUUGGAUGACCUUGGUUGCCUUCCCCUCCCAGCUAUUCCACUUUUAGUUUUGUCAGCACUUACAGGAGGACAUGGCCUUUUGUGCAGUGCCAGGCCUUGAUGUGAAUAAUAAUAAAGAAGCAACUGGAAGGUUGUUUAGGAGGAGAGAAGAGCAAGAUGCAAUUACAAAACCCUUCUGCUAGUAAUAAUGGCUCAUCCCUGGGGAUCCCUGGGGUGGAUGUCAUCUGCUUGCCAAAAGGAGAAAGCCCAGUAGAACUUUGCCAUUUUCCCUAAAAAAGACAGUCCUCGGUGGACAUAAAAAGCCAUUUAUUUCCUUUACAUUGAAUAUUAUUAAAUAUUUGGUUAAGGCUUGCAAAUGUUUUUACACUGGCAUGGUAUCUUCUUAUAACAGUCAUCCCUGUGUUUUCCCAAAAGGUCUUUGUAGCCCCCUACUGUACUGGCUGUGUGAGCUCUUGGAGGGAUCUGAACUUCUGUCUUCAGAUUUACAACAGAUGUGUAUUCUUGAUAUCUGUAACAAGAAUAAAACAAAUUCAAGUACCACCAAGCAAGGCAGAAGAAUAAAAUUUAUUAACAUUAGAAAAGAAGACGUGACAUAUGCCCAGAUGGAGAGGAUAGGAGAUGUUAUAUAUUCUAUUAUAAGGAUAUACCACUUCUAUUCUGUGGUAGAAGUGAGAGGAAUCUCGUAAGGACAAAAUUAGAUUGAUAAAUAAGGCCAAAGAGACGUUCUUAAAUUAUUUAUCAUCCUUUAUGCUUAUGUGGGUAUGCAUUUACAGGCAUAUCUUAGUUGGCAAACAAUGAUGUAGGUAAGGCUGGGGUAGGCAUUUGGAAGACAGUAAUCUAAGAGCAAAAUCCAUAUUAAACCUCUUCAGACAUUGAGAUAAAAGAUCUCUCUGCAAUGGUUAUUACAAAAGAACCCGCUGACUGGUUCUCCAAGAGAAGUCAAUCGAGUUGGGGAAACCGUGAUCUUGCAUUUGUAUUGAAAGCUUUUAAUUUAUGCAGGCCCUGCAUCCACUGCCCCUUCAUACUGCAAACAGUGAGAUGUGGCUGAGACUUCAGCUGUAAAACAGCUUCAAAUACAAAAGAAAGUCUUCAACAUUGUAGGAAAGCAGAUACUCUGAGUGAUGGAAAGGAGAGGGGAUGACACCGAGAGGCUGAAGGAGCGAGCUACGAAGUCUUUUAUACCUCUUUUUCUGACUGCAUUUGUCCUGUUCUCUGUUUUCCUACCUACCAAGGGGCAAGGUGCUCAUGUGGGGAAUAGACAGUAAAGGAAGUUCUUGGAAGUGAGGCUGUGAAGCAUUCUACAAAGGGAGAGAGCAGUGACCGAGCUCCUGAGCAUUGCAGAGAUGCUCACAUGCAGUGGCACAUGUCAUUGCCCUAGCCCUGGUGUGAAUUGGCCUCACUUUUACACUGAUCAGGCCACUCCAGAGCAGGAGCUUAAGGUGAAAUGCUGGAGAUCUCUGAUGACACUAGCAAGGGAGAGCUGGUGACAGCGGGAAGAUUUCCAUCUAAAAAGAUUUACUGUAGGAUCAGCUCAAGGGCAAACUUGCAAUCAUUUCUGGUGGCAGUUCUGGUAUGACAUUUUGCUUAAGUUUUUUUUUCUUCUCCUUAGAACCACUCAUACAUUGGUAGGCAAUUCCUACACAACAGCAUUCCUGCAUGCCCAGCAGCAGCUCUGCAAGAUACCUGAGAACCUUCACAGCUGUGAGUUGGCCAGAUUAGCUUUUCUCCCCAGUUUUAUGUUUUGCCACCAAACACACUCCUCCAGUCCACUCUUGCCAGCAAACUGGCAUCACAGACAGGGAACUGCUGGGUGAACAUGGGUUGUGAGACUGGCAUGUCACUAGCUGGCUAAUUUGGAGAGAGUUUUGGUCUAAUAAUGAUCCAUAGCUAAAAAAUUAGUUGGCACUACAUGUGUGUAACAUUUCCUGAGUACGUAUGAUGGCAAAUAUUUUGGUGUCUUGCAGAACAAUUCUUCUUUAAAAAUUACACAAGCCCUAAAUCCUGCUUGUCUGUGCUGAGGGCAUCUGAGAAGGUAAAGGGCAGUCUUGCCUUCCUGCCCCACAUCUUUGAAGGCAACACACACCACUGAGAUUCCUAGUGCAAUGCAGUGUGAGCAAGGGGGAUUAAAGAUCCAUCUCCAGCCUGCCACACUUAUUUCCUUGUGCUAAUGGUGGGACACCUGGGAGGCCUCGUUAAGGAGUUCCACAAUAGUUCCAGGGAAGUCCAAACCUGACAUGCAUCUCUCCCAAUCUGUAAGGAUAAACAGCACGUACAGGGCUGGUUCUGAGGCACUGAACCCUCGUGCCCAAGUUUGGCACUGAAACAAGACAGAAGAGCUGCACUUGUGUACAACAGGGUCUUGUUUCUCUUACACUUUGUGUAACUGUUUCCACCAGUGUUACACGAGGGUUGUCAGCCUGAUGGGCAGGUGUUAUUCUUGCCACAUGCAUGGUGCAUUUUUGCACACGCGUCAACAGCUUCCUAAAGGGUGCUACGAUUCAGCAAUGGCCACGGAGGGUUUUGCUGCUUCUGUUCUAAAUGCUGAAUUAGCUGGACUAAAUCAUGCAUGACCUGGCUGGCCCAAAAAUCUUCAGCUGCAUAUUUUUCUAGCUGAAAUACCUAUCUGAAAUUUCUAUCUGAAAUUUCAAGUACUCUUGAAACCAAAAACAUUUUUGAAACAAUGUCCACCGUGCCCCUAAUUUCAUUUUGAAGGAUUGAAGGAUAAGGGCAGGUUCCCACUGUUUCAUUUUGACAUGCCCCUAACAAAAUGUUCCUGUUUUUUUGUAUUAAAAGGGUCAUACUAGGUAGUCUUUCAAAAUUUUUCCAAAAAUAUUUUUCUGUCACAUUAUACUUCAGAUUAGAAAAUAAAGGAGGAAAAAAAACCAAAGUCACUUUAAGAGGAAUUUUUUCCUGUAUUCAAACUUUAGGGAAGGAAAAUCACAGCAAAAGAAACUCACCCAGCUGGUUGAGGACACAGCCCAGUGCCCCUGCAGACAAAUUUACCCACCAGGAGGAUGCUCUGGCUCUCGUUAAUGCAGUUUUACACUGAAGACCAAGCCACUGUAUCGAUGGGACAAGUGAUCCUGGCUUCCAGUUUUCCAAGACAGUCUAGUUUGUAAAAAAUUGUGCAGUUCAUUAAGAAGAAAGAUGUUGUUAGCAGUAUUUCAUUAUGCAAUUCCAUCUCUUUGACAGAAUCUGUGACUUAAAUAUAAAUCACUUUUUUCCUAACCAUUUUCCAGGAUGAUUUCUUAGAGCAGAUUUUAAUACAUUAAACAAAUACAUUAACAAAUACAUUAACAAAUUCAGUGCCAAGUAGAUGCAACAUGCAUUCAUGUGCAUUUUCCCCCCUAAAAUUCACAGUUCAGUUUGUUCAUGUUCUUGACUCUUCGAGUAAGGUUUUAUUCACAGAUAAGCACAAAACAUCCCCCAAAAGAGAUUUCACCAUGUAGACUUUUGCAUCCAGAUGACAAACCCACUUCUCUUUAGGAGUGGGUGGAAUAUGUGGCAAUAAACAUUCUUACAGUUUUGUUUCUUUUUUAACUAACCUUAAUUUUCCUGUCCAUGACUGAUUUCCCAACUGAAUGUAGAAAACACUGGUCACCCAGUUGGUGCACAACAGAUUUGUCAUGGUAAAUGGCAUAGAAAUUUGGGACACCAGCAGAGAAAUGCAAACAUUUUUGAAGAUUUACAAAUGUCUCUCCACUCUUUUCUAUCCCCAGGCUUCAAGAUUAGCACAAGCAUUAGGCUUUAGGUACAUACCCCAAAAUAAAUUUCACAAGCUUGACAAGCUUAAGAACUCCCCUGGUCUCAUAAAGCAUUUCAUUUUUGGUUUUGGGAAUUCCAUUAAAGAAAAGGGUGGGGUUUUUUUUAUACUCCUAAAAGAAUAAACCCUGCAUCCUUAUGACUUUUACCAUCUUCUUUCCUUAAUUAUCAGAUUUUAGAAGUGGGAGAAGGAGGACAUCCUUGAAAGGAAAUUUGUCUUAUAUAAAUGUCAAAUUCUGUAAUUACAUAUGAUCCAUGGUUUUUUCAUCACAAUAUUCACCUCAAAAGGCAAGUUAAAACAGAUCAUUUGUCACUACUUAACAGAUCUGAACAAAGCUCCUUUAGGAACUAUUCUGAUACUUCUGUUGUGGAAAACCUGAUUGCAUUUUAAAAUAGUAAAAAUAACAAA